rnacentral:rRNA from 1 species
GACGAACGCUGGCGGCGUGCCUAAUACAUGCAAGUUGAGCGCUGAAGGUUGGUACUUGUACCAACUGGAUGAGCAGCGAACGGGUGAGUAACGCGUGGGGAAUCUGCCUUUGAGCGGGGGACAACAUUUGGAAACGAAUGCUAAUACCGCAUAAAAACUUUAAACACAAGUUUUAAGUUUGAAAGAUGCAAUUGCAUCACUCAAAGAUGAUCCCGCGUUGUAUUAGCUAGUUGGUGAGGUAAAGGCUCACCAAGGCGAUGAUACAUAGCCGACCUGAGAGGGUGAUCGGCCACAUUGGGACUGAGACACGGCCCAAACUCCUACGGGAGGCAGCAGUAGGGAAUCUUCGGCAAUGGACGAAAGUCUGACCGGGCAACGCCGCGUGAGUGAAGAAGGUUGUCGGAUCGUAAAACUCUGUUGGUAGAGAAGAACGUUAGUGAGAGUGGAAAGCUCAUCAAGUGACGGUAACUACCCAGAAAGGGACGGCUAACUACGUG